rnacentral:rRNA from 1 species
UAACGCAUGGAUAACCUGCCUCACACUGGGGGAUAACAGUUAGAAAUGACUGCUAAUACCGCAUAAGCGCACAGUACCGCAUGGUACAGUGUGAAAAACUCCGGUGGUGUGAGAUGGAUCCGCGUCUGAUUAGCCAGUUGGCGGGGUAACGGCCCACCAAAGCGACGAUCAGUAGCCGACCUGAGAGGGUGACCGGCCACAUUGGGACUGAGACACGGCCCAG